CAGCCCUUGCUGGACAGACAACGGAUCUGCAGAAACAUUGCUGUUGAUGGUGAAUACCUCAGUUACGCGGAUAAUGGAAGUGGUGAUGUCGGGCUGUUUGUGGACAAGGAACGCGUAUGUAAAGGACGAUACUUUGAAGUAGAGAUAUUAAGCUUGGGCCAACGUGGUACUAUUGCUAUAGGUGUGGUACCAUCUGAGUAUCCAGAAAAUCAUCAGCCCGGAUGGGGAAAAUAUUCUAUAGGAUAUCAUGCAGACGACGGCUUGUUGUAUGAUGGAAGUGGUUCUGGGAAGAAAUUUGGACCAAAGUGCAAUGUUGGUGACAGGAUAGGCUGCGGGAUAACUGAUGUUUU